UCUCAUCCUUCCAAGUAAGUGUAGUUUCUGACAGAGAAACAGAAGAUUCAGUCCUUCUGUUAAGGUAUGAAACUCUAUAAUGCACAUCUGUGAGAUUCCUUCAGUUCACCAGAAAAUCUAGGGAAGCCUAAACUUGACAUGCCUAAGCAUUUUCAUCUAGAAGAACAAGACCCCAAGAUACUUUAUAGAAUUUGUGUGGAUCUGUUGAGAUCAUCCAUCACUGAAACAGAGCGACAUUUGGGGUGGAAUACUGCUUGUUUUUACCACGUUUCUGCAGGAGUUUUUGCUGUUGUCCAUAAUGCUGUGCAACUGAAGGCCCCAAUCCUACAAAAAUGUUCAGCGUUGACUGAGCUCUCAGCAGUAGGCCUCCCCUUCCUCAGAUGAAAGGACAAAUCAGAAGGUACCUAUUACAUGUCUGGGAGGAAAGAAACAAAGGCCCAUGACGCUGAUACCCCUCCACUCACUUGGAUUUUAAUGGAAGAAGACAUGACUAAUUUAAAGCCUGGGAAAUGUGAGCUUCAAAGGACUAUCUGAAACAAUGUGCCAGACAAAAAUGAGCUCUUAAAGUUAAGUGGGCUUCCCAGGAAAUCCUUAGUGGGAGGUGUAUGCAAAUAUACCCCCUCCACUUAUGCAAGAUCUCAGCCAUUGGAAACUUUGCCCUGGGGAGAGAUGACCUUUGUCUGCUGAUUACCUGGUACAUGAGGAUAAGAUCAGAGGCCCAAACAAAUGACUCAGAUUCAUGGGGGGGUGUGUGUGUGUUGUUUGGGGCCAAGGCAGUUAUGAAUUUGUAACAACAACAAAAAAGAUGAUAACCCUUGCUAGGGUUUGAAGGACUGACUCCUACCAGAGGAAUUGCUGGGGUUGGGGUAACCUUAUUAGCAUGUGUCUGGGUUCCACUGUGGUUUUAAUUUGUUUUCUCUGGCAUGCUUUCACCUGAGGCAUAAAUAUGAUUGCUUAGGAAAGCUGUGUGGUACCUUAUAACAGCUAACAAAGACGCUGUCCGUAGCCUCUGAGGAGAAAAGCAAGGCCUGCUUAGGCAGUCUGAUGUGCUGGGGAAUUCAUACUGUGGGCAGGGAACUGUGCAGCCUGGAAAUACCCUGAUCAAGAGGGAGUGAGAUGCACAUCUCCACCCCAGAGAAGUGACAGCUGGGGAAACCAAAAGCCUAAGAAUGGGUGCCCUUGCUGGACCAUUGAGGGGGAAUACUGUGAUGACCACUUCCUCAUCUAGUGCAGGACGUGGCUUCCUGCUCUGGGCCACAAAGAGAGCCAAGGGCACAAACCUUUUGGGGAAAGAAAAAGAAAAAAUGAAACACUGCCUGGAGAAGGCUUUGGUGUAUCAUCCCUACUUCCAUCUCCUGUUUCCUCAGACAUUAAUUCAUUCGUUCCUGUAACAGACACAGAAGAGGGGAAAAAAACACAUGAACUAUUACUGAGAAAAUGGAUGUAUUAAACUCCUCAAUCCAAAGGAACAUAUGACGAAAGGAGACGAAACGGGUCCCCUUCCAAAUGGCCAGUAUUUGACUAUACCUGAGAAGGAAAUAGCAUGCCAGCUGCUGCUAUCAUACUGUAGGGAAAACCAUUGUACAACAAGAUGGAGGGGGAAAAAAAUUAAUGGAGCUCCCCUUAAAAAAAUGGAAUUGCCUAAAGGAGAGAAAAAUGGACACAUCUAUAGCCAGACUGAAAAGAAAGUAGCUGCUAUUAUUGCUAUGUGGGAGGACUGAAUUCUUGUUUUUUGCUUGACUCCAUAGUCGUGAGGCAGGAAGGGCUGAGUUCACUGUAGUUGAGAGUAUCUUCUUGUCCCUCUUUUAUGCAAGGAGCAGCCUUGUACACUACUUUGUAUUUUCAUUGAGACUUUCAUUCCAAGGACCUCAAAGUACUUCAGAAACAUUAUUUAACACUUGUGACACCCAUAUAAGGUCAGCAAUCUUGUUAUCUCAGUUUCACAGCUAGGUUACAUGAACUGUCCAAGGUAAAACAGAUCUUUAAACAGACCCAGAAGUCCUAGCUCUCAGUCCUAUGUUUCAGACUCUAGACAACAUUCACUCCUUUGAUGGUCAGGUUUCCUGCUGUACAACGUCUAAGAGCGAGCGGGCGAGAGAGUGCCUGGAGUAAAACGUCUAAUGUGGGAGGGAGGAAGGGAAGUUUUGUGGUUUCAAAAAGGGCUCAGUGAAUUACUUUUCCCUGCUGGAAUAAAGUUAUGUUAUGGUGUUAUUGUAGCAAGACAUUCACUUGGCAAUAAACAGUCCCUUGAAGCUGAAUUUGGCAAAGUCUCAGCUUGGGAAGCAAUAAUUUUUUUCAGAGAAUCUGGAAAAAAUAUCCAUUGGGUUCUUUUAAAAUGACACAGCAUCAGUGUUAAUUUUACAAGUGUGUUAGAUGGAAGGGAGAGAAGAACCACAGAAUACAGAGAAAAGUGAAGUUUAAUGGUUUAAAAUAUUUUUUUCACAUUUAGCUUAAAAAUUGUUUUCUGCUGAAAUUGUCCAGGUUUUAAUUUAGAGGUGCUCGAGGGGUGCAGUAUGCUAUUUCAGAUAAACCUUCAUAUUUUGACUACAUAACCACCUUCCACUAUUUGGGUGACCACUAAAGCAGGUCUAAAUAUUAAUAAGAGUUUUUCAGAAAUUUUGAAUAUGGUUUCUUUCUAUUGGUUUUUUAAAUGGACCAACUUUUCAUUUUUCCAAAUUAUCUGCAGGAUUUUUAAAAACAGACUUUCCCUUGAAAAUCCAAAUUUUUCAAAAUGAACUGUUUCAAUUAUGAAAUUGAAAAUGUUUGUAAACAAGUUCUCAAUUUUGAAAAUCCCAACAUGUGACUAAGCUAAGCAAUCACAGUUGAUAAUGAAACCCUGUGAAAAGUGAUCACCAUUACAGAAAAAAAAAAACGAAUAAAAGUUGCCAUAGAAAAUUCUUGAAAAAUGGAAAAUCUUGGGAAAAAUCCAAGUUUUUGAAAGAAUUUCCACUUACAAAAUUUGGCGUUUUUUUUAAUGUGAGAAAUAAUUUCAACCAUCACUAGUUAACAUCCACGUAUGUAACUUUUUUAUUUCAAAUAAAACUGUGUCAUCUACAAUCUAUUUUGGUCUUUCUCUCCCUUUUUCUCUCAAGGCUACAAAGGGUAGAGAAACGUGUUGGUGUAAAAAUCUCCACCAAGAUAUCUAGCAGUGCAUGUUGUGAUAACUCAGCCUACAACUUUAUCCUAAUUUUAAGCUCAAUUGUUAAAAAAAUUUUUUGAAAGCUCAUAAGAUGUAACAAUAACCCAUAAUAACAAAGGCUGAUGGAAAAUAGAUCAAGUUGCUUUCAAUAAUGAAUGUUAUUAACAGAUGCAAGAAAACCAGGGAGACUAAGUUAGUCCAAACAAAAGAAGGCCACACUGAUAUAAUUCAAGGACUAUGUGAAAAUCAUGCUUGGUGAAAACAAGAUGUGAAACUAGGAAUUAAUGAACCAAAAUUGGUUUGUUGGCAACUAGGCCUAAUUGGUGGACAAAAUAA